GAACUUACCUGGAACCGAAACUAGGGUGAUCACGGACAUCCUGGCCCCAGGUGGAGGCUCGUCCUUGCACUCUGGCGGGUUAAAUCCUGCGACGAUCCUUAAUCGGGCUCACUCGGGCGCCUAGUUUUUGCGAGUGGGGAGGUCUUCGGACCAUUUUUC
rnacentral:snRNA from 1 species